AUCAAAUAGCUCCCCUCCAAAAUAACCUUGUUUUCUCCUCUUCCCGAGCCAUUUCUCCACAGUUUCUCAGGGCUCUUACCCUUUUCCGAAUGCCAGGUAAGCCCUAAAAAUCUCAUUUUCUGCAGGAAUCGCAAUCUCUGCAGUUUUUCAGCGUUUGGCUGUCGAAUUUUGCUUGAGAUUUGUUGAAAUUCACGUGGUUUGAUGCCCGGGUUCGAUGAAACCCUAAUCGCUCUCCCUUUUUAUUUUAUUUUUUAAAGGAUUUUGGGAUUUAUAUGAUUGUUCUCUAUGAUUUGAUAGUGUUUUCGGAUUUUGGAUCGGUGGACAUCCGAUUUCGUAUUUCGGAUUUUGUAGGAUUUGUGGAAUUUGCGGAUCUUGGAAGAGAGAAAAUUUGGGAUUUUUAUUUCCCCAUAUGAUUAUGGGGAAGUCUGAUGUUUUGAGAUUGUCUGAUAAUUCAUGUUGUUGUGGGUUUGUAUGGAAAUUUGUGGUGAUUGGCUGUUUGUGCUGAAAAUUUGAUUAAUUGAUUUACUGAUCAGUUGAGUGUUGAGAUUUCCUUUGUGGGUUUUUCGCGUGAGAUAUUUUAGGACUUUCUGGUGCUCUGCUUAGAUCCAGUUGUUGAGAAAAUUCGGAUGUGGUGUUUGGACACGUGAAAUCUGAAUUUCUUUGGGGCUUUGUUUUUGGAACUUGGGCAUUGGAGAUUAUUUGGAAAUUCAUGUGAUUUGGGUUCACAUGGAAUUUUCGUGGAUGGGUUAUAACCAUUGAAAAUUUGAUUGAUCGAUCGAUUGGGAGUGAAAGGGGGUAGAUUGACCAUGGACAGUAACAAAGAUGAAGCUUUGAGAUGCAUCCGAAUUGCCGAAGCGGCUAUUGCAUCCGGCAACAAGCAACGUGCAUUGAAAUUCAUUAGAAUUGCUCAACGUCUGGACUGUAACCUAUCAGUUGAUGAGCUUUUAGCGGCGUGUGGGACACUAGAUUCUACUGCCUCCACCUCGGCUACUGAGGAGAGGCCUGUAGGUCAAAAUCCAAGAGAGCCGAUGCCUCGGAAAGACGCUGAUGUGUCGAAUGGGGAUCGGAAUUAUACCGAUGAGCAUGUUAAGCUGAUUCGGGAAAUCAAGAAAAACAAGGAUUACUAUGUGAUUCUCGGUGUAGAGAGGAGCUGCUCCAUCGAGGAGAUCAGGAAGGCUUACAGGAAGCUAUCUCUUAAGGUCCACCCUGACAAGAACAAGGCCCCAGGUUCAGAAGAGGCAUUCAAGAUGGUUUCUAAGGCUUUCAAGUGUUUGAGUGAUGAAGAGUCAAGGAGGCAAUAUGAUCAGACAGGUUUGGUCGAAGAAUUCGAAUACAACCAGCAGCACAAUGUCAGGAGGAGGAGAAGGACCACACAUGAUAUGUUUGAUGAGAAUUUCGACCCGGAUGAGAUUUUCAGGUCUUUCUUCUUUGGUUCGCAGCCGGAGGUGUUCCGAUCUGCACAUGUUUAUAGGGCAGCUAGAGGAAUGGCCAGUCAGCAAAGGGGGAAUGCCCAUAGUGGAGGGUUCAAUGUAAUGAUGUUGCUUCAGCUACUGCCUAUCUUGGUUAUCUUCCUAAUAGCAUAUCUGCCCUUCUCUGAGCCAGACUAUGCCUUGCAAAAGACGUAUUCCUAUCAGAUCCCGAAGGUAACUGACAAAUAUGGGGUAGAAUUUUAUGUCAAGUCGUCUGAUUUUGAUCAGCAAUUCCCGGAAGGAAGUCCUUCCAGAGCAAAUCUCGAGUACCAUAUAGUGAGGGACUACAAAAGCAUGCUUGGGCGCUACUGUCACAUGGAAAUGCAAAGGCGUCAGUGGUCUAGAAAUUAUCCCACACCCCACUGUGACAAGCUACGGAGUUUUGGAGUCGCCUGAAUGCAUUUAAUGAGGUCUUGGCGUGUGAAAGCGAGGAAAACCAGAUUUCUCAUCUCUCAUUGGGUGGGGAAAAGUGACCACAAUGUGAUGGCAUAUGGUCCCAAGGUGCUACAAACGGCCCCAGGCCUUUUGACUUGAUUGGAGACUUUCAUAAUCUGUCUACCAUUGAGCCAUCGAGCCAACCCACAUCAUGACCAUCUAAUGUGGACUUCACGCCUAUUACAUGCUCCUGAACUUUCAAUCAAUGGACCUUUUGUGGAUGCUUGUUGGGAGUCCAAAAGUCAGGCUAUGGACCGGUUCAAACCGCGGAAAUCUGGCUAUGUGCCGGUUCAAGCCAGUGAGCAUGGAGCUACUACCCUUUCAGGAACUGCCCUAUCAGUUGGGAGUUUUGAGCUUUUCAGACUCAUCUCGUUUGAUCCGCGUCAAGUUGUGACUUGGGGUCGAGUUGGGCUGAGCUGACUCGGGGUAUCAUGACCGGAUUUGAUCCGACGGUUGCAUCUGGCAGGGAUGGGUGGUGAAUCCUUUUUGAGCUACUGGUUUGAAUUAUGUGGUGUUUCCUCAUCUCUGAUCCACUAACCGCUUGUAUUCAUUGAUAUAAGACCAUUAAAAUGGUGUACCCACCUUGAC